CAGCUCAAAUUUGAAAGCUAGCCUUCGGGUUCGCAUUGUAAUUUGUAGAGGAUGCUUUGGGUAAAACGCCAGUCUAAGUUCCUUGGAACAGGACGUCAUAGAGGGUGAGAAUCCCGUAUGUGACUGGAAAUGUUAACCUAUGUAAAGCUCCUUCGACGAGUCGAGUUGUUUGGGAAUGCAGCUCUAAAUGGGAGGUAAAUUUCUUCUAAAGCUAAAUAUUGGCGAGAGACCGAUAGCGCACAAGUAGAGUGAUCGAAAGAUGAAAAGCACUUUGGAAAGAGAGUUAAAAAGCACGUGAAAUUGUUGAAAGGGAAGCGCUUGCAAUCAGACUUGUUUAAACUGUUCGGCCGGUCUUCUGACCGGUUUACUCAGUUUGGACAGGCCAGCAUCAGUUUCGGCGGCCGGAUAAAGGCUCUGGGAAUGUGGCCUCCACUUCGGUGGAGGUGUUAUAGCCCAGUGUGUAAUACGGCCAGCCGGGACUGAGGUCCGCGCUUCGGCUAGGAUGCUGGCGUAAUGGUUGUAAGCGACCCGUCUU
rnacentral:rRNA from 1 species